CUGGGCCGGGAGGAGGAGGAAGCCGGAGCGCUCCCGCUGGACCACGUAGCCGACGCCCUCCGGUCAGCACGCCUCUUGAACCUCUCUCCGCCGCUCGGUCCGGCCGCACGGCAAAGCAUCCCUUUUGGAUUCUUCAUUCUUGGCACAUUUUCUCAAGACUGGGGUGCAGGGCGUGAGGCUGUUUCUUUUUGUCGUCUGUUUUCCAUAAUGAUGGCUUGCAAACUCCGGGGUUUCCCAGCCCAAAGCACACUGUGCUCCGUCCCAGAGACAGGACUUUCUGUCCCUUGUCUCUGAAUAUUUUGCAAAGUCACAGGCAACACACACACACACACACACACACACACACACACACACACACGCGCGCCAACCCUGGCCACCACUCAGGGAGCCCUGAGGCGGAUGGUAAGCCUGGCACCCCUCCAGGAGGAGGGGACCUGGAAACCAGACUGGAGAGUCCUGCUUCUGAAAUCCCCACACGCGAAAGUGGUGAUGAAAAGGGACAAUGAGUCACCUCCACCCCCGUGGCUGCCCACUUUGCUUUCUGAGCUCAUGGCUCUAAUUCUUAGAAGAAUGGAAUGUCAUUGCUAGGGGAAUUUUUUGACCAGGUCCUUGGUUUGAAGGUGGGGUUAACCCUCAUGGAACAUGCGGAUUCCGGAGAAAUGAUAAAUGUCCCUAGGAAUGAUCUUCAAGGAGAACUAGAAAUCGGUGAAGUCAUGCACAUUUGGCCUGAGUGUAGGCUGCCUCCGCCUGCAAACACCACAGAGCUCAAGCAGACGGAACGUUGGUGAUGUCAAUUUUCCUGCCCUCCCUUACGGUGGAGCGGUGGAGCGUGGUGUCAAUGAACUAGGAGCACCGCAGGGAGCCAGCUCUUGCCAUGUUUGUGGGGCCUAAGCCAGGGACAUGGCAGGCUUCAAGGAAGGUGUGAACUCCCAUCAGAGUUUCCGCAUGCUGGUGAGGGUCUGAAGAAGACAGCGGGCUUCCGGAGCACUCAGCUUCUCUGGGCAGUCUGCAGUCGUGCAGCGCCUACAUCAGGUGACCAGGCGUCAGCAUGGCCUCUGCAGGAUGCAGUCUUCCAGGUGCCCUGCCGGCCUUAGCCUGGUCCACCCCGCCCCCCAUAUUCUCAAUGCAUCUUUUCUACCCAGGUAGCUCCCAAUAGUAGUGCCUCCCAUGGUGCAGAUGCUCAACUUGAUCGAGAUCACUGAGCAUUGCAGGGAGCAGCUAUGGAGAGCAGAGGAGAAUUCCCACCCAGAGAACUUCUGCCUAGUGACCAUUGCAGAGUGUGUGCUGUGGGUCAGAAAUGGAAAACCAUCUAGAUAAUGUGUUUCAAAAGUGGAAAGAGCCACCAGCACUAUCUUGUGCCUGAGACAGCAAUGAAGUGGACAGUCCAGCCCCACUAGGGGCAGGAGUUCAGACCAGGCAGCAGACACCCUAUCUGGCAGCUCCUCUUUCCUGCCCAGAAAGCAGGGAUGGGGUGGGGUGGAAACGAGGUGUUGGGAGCAGUUCAGGGUCCACAGGCCCCUGCUGCUCUUGCCUUCUUGGGGUCACAACGCCACCACAAUAGAACCAGCCCUGCAUCCAGCACCUGCAGGCACUUGCUGUCUUGCCUGAAAAGAUGCUGGGCAUUGACCAGCCAAUCGGUGCCUUUGCAGCUAUUUUGGGGGUAUAAUGGAAAUCACAGUGAUUUUGUCAGAUUUUGGCACAUUUGAGACACAUGUGUACACUUGUGAAGACAUCACGGUCACGUUGAAGACACGCUCAGAUCCAGAAAGGUUUCCCUACAGCCUUCUGCAGUUCCUGUCUCCUGGAUCUCUGCUCUGCCUUGAGUCUGGGUCCCUGGUCAAAGCCAUGGCCAGCUUCCUGUCACUACGGGCUAUUCUGCGUUUCUUAGAGGGGUUCAUGAAAGGAAGCAUGUGGUGUGCAUGUUCCUUUAUCCUCUGUCAGUACCUGUGUCUUCAGAGCUGUCUGUGCUGGUGCGCGUAUCAGCAGUGAUGCUCAGUUGCGUGGAUCUGACACUGUUUAUCACUCACCCCUUCAUGGACAUUUGGCUUGUUUCUGGAGUUUUUAUCAUUACAAAUCUGCCAUGAACAUUUGGGCGCAAGUCAUCCCAUGCGACUACGUUUUCUCUUCGUGAAACACCUAGGAGCAGCAUUGACGCAGUGCUGCUGGAUGGGGGUCCACCCUCCUGGCCUUAACUGGGUACGUCUGCACUGAUCCCAUCUCCAGGCGAGACUGUGUUCAGAGGCUGGGGUUCGGCCUGGUGUGUACCUAGUAGAGCUGGAAGAGACUCCUGGAAUCCGCCUUCUCCCUGCUCAUCUCCAAGCCCUGCCUGGCCUGAGGGGACCAGGUGUCAGUGUGGACAGUGAGUGACGGAGGUCAAGGGAGGAGGAUGACCGGUUACCACUGGUCCUCCAACAGCCAACCUUGGUCCCCAGCAAGAGGAGUGGCUGAGGAUCCCCUGAGCUCCUGCCUCUUCCUGCCCCGGCAACACGUGAAGAAGGAGAUGUGGGGCUCUGGGGUGUGUAAAAGAGCCAGAAACACGCUCCCCACAGACACCCAGCCCUGGCUCCCUGCUCACCUCUUUCUUGAAUAAACCUUGGUUUCUAUGCUGGC